GACGGGUGAGUAACACGUGGGUAACCUACCUAUAAGACUGGGAUAACUCCGGGAAACCGGGGCUAAUACCGGAUAACACAUGAAACCGCAUGGUUUCAUGAUGAAAGACGGUUUUGCUGUCACUUAUAGAUGGACCCGCGGCGUAUUAGCUAGUUGGUAAGGUAACGGCUUACCAAGGCAACGAUACGUAGCCGACCUGAGAGGGUGAUCGGCCACACUGGAACUGAGACACGGUCCAG
rnacentral:rRNA from 1 species